AAAAAGCUCGUAGUUGAACGUUCGGGUUCCGCGGGACGGGGCCGCCCCGCGAGGGACGGCGCCGCCCCGGGGCUCGUGAUAUCUUAUCUCGCCGCCCGUCGCGAGGCGGACGGAGGGAUGGAUGAGGUUACCUGGAAAAAAUCGGGGCGAUCUAGGCGGGCGAACCUCGCCAACGAACGAUCGGACAUGGGAUAACGGAAGAGGGCGUCGGCUCGACUUCGUCGGUUCCUCGGGCCGAGGCACGUACGGUGAAUAGGGACGGUCGGGGCCGCCCGUACCGGGUCGUGAGAGGUGAAAUUCUAGGAUCGACCCGAGACGAACUGCCGCGAAAGCAUUCGGCAAGGACGCUUUCAUUAAUCAAGAACGAAAGUCGGGGGAUCGAAGACGAUCAGAUACCGUCGUAGUCCCGACCGUAAACGAUGCCGACCGAGGGCCCGGAGGAGUUACGUACGACCCUCCGGGCCCUCCCGCGAGAAAUCAGGAGUAUUCGGGUUCCGGGGG
rnacentral:rRNA from 1 species